GGGGGAUUAGUAUAAUGGCAUUACGAUACACUUGCAUUGUAUUAACAAGAGUUCGAUUCUCUUAUCCUCCAGCA
rnacentral:tRNA from 1 species